rfam:Desertifilum sp. IPPAS B-1220 NODE_68_length_20795_cov_34.2723, whole genome shotgun sequence.
AGAGUAAGCGAGGUGGUUGCGGAAUAGGAGCAAAUGCUGCUGUUCUGAGGAAAGUCCGGGCACCCGAAAGACCAAGCUUGCUGGGUAACGCCCAGUGCGAGCGAUCGCGAGGAAAGUGCCACAGAAACAUACCGCCGAUGGGACUUCGGUUCCAGGUAAGGGUGCAAAGGUGCGGUAAGAGCGCACCAGCAGCAUCGAGAGGUGCUGGCUCGGUAAACCCCGGCGGGGUGCAAGGCUGGAGGAACUAGGGUUGGUCUUUUACCCGUUCCGCUUGAAGAUGCCGCAAGAGGUGUCUGGUGACAGGCAUCCCAGAUAGAUAACCGCCCUCUGAAAGUGCAUGGCAGUUUCGGAGAACAGAACCCGGCUUAUGUCUUGCUCUGUCC